UAUAUUUUGGUGUAAGACGCACAAAAGUUUUUGAUUCUUUAAGAAAUAGUUUAAUUCUAUUAAAUAUAA
rnacentral:tRNA from 1 species